CCCCCCCCCCACCAAGCUGCCCACCAGAGGCCAAGCUGUACUUGGUGUUUGCCAACAUGCUGUAAUUUCCAGCCUGGUUGCUGUAGCCACAGAGGAAUUUUCAAGGACAAGAACCAGUGCUGGUAAAACUGUGGUCUCUGUGGUUUUCCAUACCGGCUCUCGGCAAGGAUUUUCAAGAAAGGAAUACCAUCUCCAAAUCAUGAUGUGCCAAUAAGCUCCAGUUAGCUGCGGCCUUUUCCCCUGGCGGUAGUCCUGCAAUCUGAAUCCAGGAGAUGCAGCUCUGAAUCCAAUAUUUCAGAAGAAUGAAGAUGAAGCAGACCCAGGAGGAACUGUCUGUUGAAGACCCCCCCCCCCCCCCACCAAGCUGCCCACCAGAGGCCAAGCUGUACUUGGUGUUUGCCAACAUGCUGUAAUUUCCAGCCUGGUUGCUGUAGCCACAGAGGAAUUUUCAAGGACAAGAACCAGUGCUGGUAAAACUGUGGUCUCUGUGGUUUUCCAUACCGGCUCUCGGCAAGGAUUUUCAAGAAAGGAAUACCAUCUCCAAAUCAUGAUGUGCCAAUAAGCUCCAGUUAGCUGCGGCCUUUUCCCCUGGCGGUAGUCCUGCAAUCUGAAUCCAGGAGAUGCAGCUCUGAAUCCAAUAUUUCAGAAGAAUGAAGAUGUUAGUCAACUCUGUAGUGCUUGUUUGUGUGUAAAUGAUUCCAAUGAGUGAGAUUUAUAGCAAAUCAGGUGUAAAUAAGCAUCUUAUAGACAAUAGUGAAGUGCUGUACUCUGAAUUUAAUGCCAAAUCUAGCCUUCAAAACAGAUUCUUAAAGUAAU